GUGGGGAACAGCUCAGUGGUAGAGCAUGUGCUUACAUGCACGAGGGCCUGGGUUCAAUCCCCAGUCCCUCCA
rnacentral:tRNA from 1 species